GAUGAACGCUAGCGGCAGGCCUAACACAUGCAAGUCGAGGGGUAGAAGGAGCUUGCUCCUUUGAGACCGGCGCACGGGUGCGUAACGCGUAUGCAAUCUACCUUGUACAGGGGAAUAGCCCAGAGAAAUUUGGAUUAAUGCCCCAUAGUAUAUAACCUUCGCAUGUUGGUUUUAUUAAAGUUCCAACGGUACAAGAUGAGCAUGCGUCCCAUUAGUUAGUUGGUAAGGUAACGGCUUACCAAGACGAUGAUGGGUAGGGGUCCUGAGAGGGAGAUCCCCCACACUGGUACUGAGACACGGACCAGACUCCUACGGGAGGCAGCAGUGAGGAAUAUUGGUCAAUGGUCGCAAGACUGAACCAGCCAUGCCGCGUGCAGGAAGACGGUCCUAUGGAUUGUAAACUGCUUUUAUACAGGAAGAAACCCUCCCACGUGUGGGAGCUUGACGGUACUGUAGGAAUAAGGAUCGGCUAACUCCGUG
rnacentral:rRNA from 1 species